rnacentral:rRNA from 1 species
CAGGAUUAGAUACCCUGGUAGUCCACGCUGUAAACGAUGAGUGCUGGAUGUGGGGGUUUUUACCUCCGUGUUGUAGCUAACGCGUUAAGCACUCCGCCUGGGGACUACGGUCGCAAGACUAAAACUCAAAGGAAUUGACGGGGACCCGCACAAGCGGUGGAGCAUGUGGUUUAAUUCGAUGCAACGCGAAGAACCUUACCACUUCUUGACAUGAAGAUUAGAUCCUCCUUAACAGGAGGGCGCAGUUAGGCUGGGUCUUGCACAGGUGCUGCAUGGCUGUCGUCAGCUCGUGUCGUGAGAUGUUGGGUUAAGUCCCGCAACGAGCGUAACCCUCACCCUUAGUUGCCAGCGGGUAAAGCCGGGGACUUUAAGGGAACUGCCAGUGGUAAGCUGGAGGAAGGUGGGGAUGAUGUCAAGUCAGCAUGGCCCUUAUGGGGUGGGCUACACACGUGCUACAAUGGUGACUACAAUAGGUUGCAAUGUCGUAAGGCUGAGCUAAUCCGGUAAAAGUCAUCUUAGUUCGGAUUGUCCUCUGCAACUCGAGGGCAUGAAGCAGGAAUCGCUAGUAAUCGUGGAUCAGCAUGCCACGGUGAAUACGUUCUCGGGUCUUGUACACACUGCCCGUCACGCCAUGGGAAUUGGCUUAACUC